rnacentral:snRNA from 1 species
UCCUGCAUUAGUCGUUAGUGAUU